rnacentral:rRNA from 1 species
ACAAAACUGUGGCCAGCGGCUGCGGAAAUAAAGUGUGUGCGAGAGUUGUACGGAAUUACUUGGAAUGAAGGGUGCUUAGGCGAUCGGUUAAGUCACGGGUGAAAGUGUGCGGACCAACCGUAUAAGUGCCUGGGAUACUGGCGAACUCGAGUGCGGGAUGGGUGGGGGGAACGAGCAGGGUAGCAGUGAAAUGCUUAGAUAUUGCUCGGAAGGACGGAGCCGAAGGGGCCCAACUGGUACGCAACUGACGCUGAGUCACGAAAGCGUGGGGAGCAAACAGGAUUAGAUACCCCAGUAGUC